CCUACGGGUGGCAGCAGUAGGGAAUAUUGCUCAAUGGGGGAAACCCUGAACCAGCCAUGCCGCGUGCAGGAAGACUGCUCUAUGAGUUGUAAACUGCUUUUGUACGGGGGUAAAGCCCGAUACGUGUAUCGGGUUGAAAGUAUCGUACGAAUAAGGAUCGGCUAACUCCGUGCCAGCAGCCGCGGUAAUACGGAGGAUUCAAGCGUUAUCCGGAUUUAUUGGGUUUAAAGGGUGCGUAGGCGGUUCGAUAAGUUAGAGGUGAAAUCCCGGGGCUCAACUCCGGCACUGCAUCUGAUACUGUCGGGCUAGAGGUUAGUUGAGGUAGGCGGAAUGUGUGGUGUAGCGGUGAAAUGCAUAGAGAUCAUACAGAACGCCGAUUGCGAAGGCAGCUUACCGGACUACGACUGACGUUGAGGCACGAAAGCGUGGGUAGCAAACAGGAUUAGAUACCCGGGUAGUC
rnacentral:rRNA from 1 species